rnacentral:rRNA from 1 species
AAAGCUUGCUUUGAUGAUGGCGACCGGCGCACGGGUGAGUAACACGUAUCCACCUGCCGACAACACUGGGAUAGCCUUUCGAAAGAAAGAUUAAUACCGGAUGGUCCCGCAUGGGUAAAGAAUUUCGGUUGUCGAUGGGGAUGCGUUCCAUUAGGCAGUUGGCGGGGUAACGGCCCACCAAACCUACGAUGGAUAGGGGUUCUGAGAGGAAGGUCCCCCACAUUGGAACUGAGACACGGUCCAAACUCUACGGGAGGCAGCAGUGAGGAAUAUUGGUCAAUGGACGAGAGUCUGAACCAGCCAAGUAGCGUGAAGGAUGACUGCCUAUGGGUUGUAAACUUCUUUUAUACGGGAAUAAGUGAGCCACGUGUGGCUUUUUGUAUGUACCGUAUGAAUAAGGAUCGGCUAACUCCGUGCCAGCAGCCGCGGUAAUACGGAGGAUCCGAGCGUUAUCCGGAUUUAUUGGGUUUAAAGGGAGCGUAGGCGGGUUGUUAAGUCAGUUGUGAAAGUUUGCGGCUCAACCGUAAAAUUGCAGUUGAUACUGGCGACCUUGAGUGCAACAGAGGUAGGCGGAAUUCGUGGUGUAGCGGUGAAAUGCUUAGAUAUCACGAAGAACUCCGAUUGCGAAGGCAGCUUACU